AGCGAACGCUGGCGGCAGGCUUAACACAUGCAAGUCGAGCGGGCCCUUCGGGGUCAGCGGCGCACGGGUGAGUAACGCGUGGGAACGUGCCCUCUGGUUCGGAAUAACUCAGGGAAACGGGUGCUAAUACCGGAUACGCUCUUCGGGGGAAAGAUUUAUUGCCGGAGGAUGGGCCCGCGUCGGAUUAGCUAGUUGGUAGGGUAAAGGCCUACCAAGGCGACGAUCAGUAGCUGGUCUGAGAGGAUGAUCAGCCACACUGGGACUGAGACACGGCCCAGACUCCUACGGGAGGCAGCAGUGGGGAAUAUUGGACAAUGGGCGCAAGCCUGAUCCAGCCAUGCCGCGUGAGUGAUGAAGGCCUUAGGGUUGUAAAGCUCUUUUAUCCGGGACGAUAAUGACGGUACCGGGGGAAUAAGCCCCGGCUAACUUCGUG
rnacentral:rRNA from 1 species